rnacentral:rRNA from 1 species
AGCAGCCGCGGUAAUUCCAGCUCCAAUAGCGUAUAUUAAAGUUGUUGCAGUUAAAAAGCUCGUAGUUGAAUUUCGGGAUUAGUACGCUGGUCAUGCCUUUGGUAUGUACUGGUGUUACUGAUUCCUACCUUCUGACGAACCGUUAUGUCAUUAAUUUGGUGUGGCGGGAAAUCAGGACUGUUACUUUGAAAAAAUUAGAGUGUUUAAAGCAGGCUCGCGCUUGAAUACAUUAGCAUGGAAUAAUGAAAUAGGACGUUUAAUCCUAUUUUGUUGGUUUCUAGGAUUGACGUAAUGAUUAAUAGGGAUAGUUGGGGGCAUUAGUAUUCAAUUGUCAGAGGUGAAAUUCUUGGAUUUAUUGAAGACUAACUACUGCGAAAGCAUUUGCCAAGGAUGUUUUCAUUAAUCAAGAACGAAAGUUAGGGGAUCGAAGACGAUCAGAUACCGUCGUAGUCUUAACCAUAAACUAUGCCGACUAGGGAUCGGAUGAUGUUAAUUUUUAAUGACUCAUUCGGCGCCUUAA